CAGCAAUUAAAGGAGCAAUCCGCUAUGAGAUGGGCCCGCGGCGCAUUAGCUAGUUGGUGAGGUAACGGCUCACCAAGGCGACGAUGCGUAGCCGACCUGAGAGGGUGAUCGGCCACAUUGGGACUGAGACACGGCCCAGACUCCUACGGGAGGCAGCAGUGGGGAAUAUUGCACAAUGGGGAAACCCUGAUGCAGCAACGCCGCGUGAGUGAUGACGGCCUUCGGGUUGUAAAGCUCUGUCUUCAGGGACGAUAAUGACGGUACCUGAGGAGGAAGCCACGGCUAACUACGUG
rnacentral:rRNA from 1 species